rnacentral:rRNA from 1 species
UACGUAGGGGGCUAGCGUUGUCCGGAUUUAUUGGGCGUAAAGAGCGUGUAGGCGGCCAAGUAGGUCCGGUGUGAAAACUCGAGGCUUAACCUCGAGAUGUCAUCGGAAACCAUUUGGCUAGAGUCCGGAAGAGGAAAGUGGAAUUCCUGGUGUAGCGGUGAAAUUCGUAGAUAUUCGCAAGGACACCAGUGGCGAAGGCGGCUCACUGGCCCGAUACUGACGCUGAGGCACGAAAGCGUGGGGAGCAAACAGG